GAGACAGGCGGCGGAACCACUGAGCUAAAUCCCUAGCCUCACAUUUGACAAAAGUUUUAAAAAGCCUCAUCAUGGAGCAGGUGUUCUACCAUUCCAAUAACAAAGCUUUCGUUUAAGAGAUCAGAUCAACUUCAACCAACACAUAAAGAUUCCACACAGACAUUAAAAAACAGAGCACAGACUUGGCUGUUUAAAUUUGCUACAUUGCUACAUUUAGUGUAUAGUGCCAGGAACAAAGUAUCAAUCGGCCAAAUUUAAACAUGAUUUUGACUCUACUUUUAAAGUUUUCUGAAAGACUCUUACAUUCCAUUUCUUUUAACAAGAACACAGGACAAUGAUUUCUUAUAAAUACCAAAUUUACUGCAAUCAAAGAACAAGAACACAAGGAUAUAUACAUAAGCUACACUGGUGUUUAUUCCUCAGGGUCAAAGUAACUGUAAUCCUUAAGAAAGCCAAAACAGAACAACACACAAAACUCAAGUUCCUUUCACUUUUGGCUAACAGAUUCUUUUAACCUGAGGUGCCAGGACCAGCUUCAAUAUGACUACAGCUGCAUACGAAAUUAUGUGUCUAUUUCACUAAGGGGGCCCUGUAGGAAGGGUUAGGAACCACAGACGGGAACAUUUCCAGAACCACUAAAACUCAGCAGGGAGCAUUUUCAACAAAUUACACUAAAGGUAGUACCUAUGUGAACACAUGUGCAAGCUGGCUGCCAGCUCAUACACUCCCGGGGCAGCCACCGCACGUCCCAGCUGCAGCAGCUCCCACUUCAUUCCUAGGCAUGCACAUGUUGUCAACAAAGCAUGUGCCAGUUGCCAUUCCCGGAACAAUACCGGCCUGGCCAUCCUUUGGAAAGAAAUCCAUAAACCUUCCUCCCCAAACAUCCCCCCAUUUCUGCACGAUGCCUUGACCAUAGAUGUUAAACAUUACAACAAAAAGGUUGAGAUUCCCGCUCACGCUUCGUAUCUAGUUACUAAACUGGAUGGAAAGCAUCACUCAGGUGUGUUUGAGAGUCCGUUGGAGAUGCACGUAUGGGAGACACCAUGACAAGGACGCCCGGACAACCUGGGGCCAUCACAGACGGACUCACACAGGAACAGCCUGCAACACGGUUUCGGAAAGCACCCUCCUCCAAAGGCAGAGGCACAUUCCUUUGAUUGGCACAAGCUAUUUCUGACAAUGGAUCUGUGAUGACAGGGGCUCUCGGCAAUCAGGAAGUGUGUGUGUGUGUGUGUGUGUGUGCGUGUUGUGGGGGAGGGAUGUGUUAGAUGUGAUCAAAGACUGGCCUGCUGAAAAGAAGAGAAUAUGGGAUCUUAAAGCCUGGAGGCAGACUUGGAGGAGGAAGAGAAGGACCAAGGCAAUGAGAGACAGAUGAGCCAUGCUCCAGGAUACAGGCUUCCUUUGUUCUCCCAGCAUCCACUUUGCAGCCCAGGCUGACCUUGGACUCUCAGUGAUCCUCCUGCCUCAGCCUCCCAAGUGCUGACUGAGAAGACAGGUGUGCAGUACUGCAAUCAACUCUCAGCCAACCUUAAGAAGCGCUGGGGAGCUGCUACUGUUCUAGCUGCCUUGGGCAGAUUACCUCACAGUGCUGCGAGGGCACCUGUGUUGUCUUCUUGUCACAGAUGAACCUGGAGCCCAGGCACAUUAGGUGUUAGUCCGAGGUCAUGCAGCUGGAAGGUGAGGGGUCAGGCUUCCUGGACCCAGAGCCGUCCUCUCCACCUCCAGGUCAGGGCCAGCGAAGGGUCCAGUCCCCUCGCUCCUGUUCUCUCUUCCAGGACGAGAACUGCAGGGAUACCUUUCCCACCCUGCCCCAGGGCCCAGGGUGGCUCCCUCUCCACACCCACCCCAUCCCAGCCCAAGGCUCCUAGGGGAUCUGAAUCCCAGUCUUGGUGGCCCAGGAUCACUUCUGUGUGCCUUAGCCACACCCGAGAGGGUCCCCGCCCAGUGCCGGCCCAGCCUGGCCCACAGACACCCAGUGGCUGCCCCUUCAGCUCUACCUGGUCGGCUUCGGGCCAUUAGAAACCUCGCCUUCUCUCUCUCUUCUCUGGGGCUUUUUCUCUAUUCUGCUGCACCUCCCCACGCUUCCUUCCUGUGCUUAUUUCUCUUUACAACAAAGCUGGUUAUUUUUAACCUGAGGUUUUCACUCUCCUCUUGUCCUAUGGGGACUGAGUUGGGGAGGGAUGUUGGCACCCUGGGAGGGCUGCAGUUUGUGUCCCUCACCGCUGAGCCCAGCCUCUGGCCUGGUCUGUAUGUUUGAGACAAGCUCUCACUAUGUAGUUCAGCCUGGCCUCAAACACAAGGCGAUUCUCCUGCUUCAGCCUCCCUGGUGCUCUGUCCUGGUCUUUUGAGAUGUACCCCAGAGAGCUCUGCACUCCCUCCAGACCCUCCUUGCACAUCUGUGAAGGUCUCUGUCUUAACCUCCUCCCACCUCAGCCCCAGCAAGCCCAGCUCCAUCCUCCCCUCUGCGGGGCUCCAGCCCCUACCUGGUCCCUGGUUCUUUGCACAUCAGGUGUUUGAGAGAGAAACUUUUAUUUGAAGCCCAAACAAUUGCAAAGGGGAGACAAUGGGGCAUUUAGGUUUUCAUAGUUAGUGUUUGUUUUUAGUUUGGUUUCUGCACCCAGCUUUCUUUGGAAAGAAAAACAGUAGCAACUGAACAGGUUCAUAGCAGGGAUUUAAAAAAACAACUACCAGUGACUCACUGGGGCUGCCAGGCCCACAAGUAAAGUUCUCUAAAGUAACUGGUACUGGGAACCUUCCCCCUGGGGCAGCUCAGUAUCCUAAUGUGCGGAGCUCUGAGUCAAGCCAAAAAGGAUUAGAUAUGUUCGGUGCUGUUUUGUGUGUUUGCCUGUAUUUUUAAAAUUCUAAUUCCUUUAAGUCAGGCACCUUCUGUCUAAUGCCAGGAGUGACUCUUGGAUUUUCUGGGUGGUCUGCACUGAAUUUCUCCCGCUGUCCUCUCCAGCCCCACCCGCCCGGCCUCUGUGUCAUGCUCCUGUAACUGUCCCCACCGGCCUGGGGAGCAGUGCCUGCCAGCCCCAUCCGGACUCAGGGCUGCAACCUUGUCCCGCAUCCCUCAUCCCUCCUGGAGGUGGCUGUUCAGUCUCUUGUUUUGGAAAAAAAGAGAAAUUAGAACAGAAAGAAAUAAAC